AGAGUUUGAUCAUGGCUCAGAUUGAACGCUGGCGGCAGGCUUAACACAUGCAAGUCGAGCGGGGGAAGGUAGCUUGCUACUGGACCUAGCGGCGGACGGGUGAGUAAUGCUUAGGAAUCUGCCUAUUAGUGGGGGACAACAUCUCGAAAGGGAUGCUAAUACCGCAUACGUCCUACGGGAGAAAGCAGGGGAUCUUCGGACCUUGCGCUAAUAGAUGAGCCUAAGUCGGAUUAGCUAGUUGGUGGGGUAAAGGCCUACCAAGGCGACGAUCUGUAGCGGGUCUGAGAGGAUGAUCCGCCACACUGGGACUGAGACCCGGCCCAGACUCCUACGGGAGGCAGCAGUGGGGAAUAUUGGACAAUGGGGGGAACCCUGAUCCAGCCAUGCCGCGUGUGUGAAGAAGGCCUUAUGGUUGUAAAGCACUUUAAGCGAGGAGGAGGCUACUUUAGUUAAUACCUAGAGAUAGUGGACGUUACUCGCAGAAUAAGCACCGGCUAACUCUGUGCCAGCAGCCGCGGUAAUACAGAGGGUGCGAGCGUUAAUCGGAUUUACUGGGCGUAAAGCGUGCGUAGGCGGCUUAUUAAGUCGGAUGUGAAAUCCCCGAGCUUAACUUGGGAAUUGCAUUCGAUACUGGUGAGCUAGAGUAUGGGAGAGGAUGGUAGAAUUCCAGGUGUAGCGGUGAAAUGCGUAGAGAUCUGGAGGAAUACCGAUGGCGAAGGCAGCCAUCUGGCCUAAUACUGACGCUGAGGUACGAAAGCAUGGGGAGCAAACAGGAUUAGAUACCCUGGUAGUCCAUGCCGUAAACGAUGUCUACUAGCCGUUGGGGCCUUUGAGGCUUUAGUGGCGCAGCUAACGCGAUAAGUAGACCGCCUGGGGAGUACGGUCGCAAGACUAAAACUCAAAUGAAUUGACGGGGGCCCGCACAAGCGGUGGAGCAUGUGGUUUAAUUCGAUGCAACGCGAAGAACCUUACCUGGCCUUGACAUACUAGAAACUUUCCAGAGAUGGAUUGGUGCCUUCGGGAAUCUAGAUACAGGUGCUGCAUGGCUGUCGUCAGCUCGUGUCGUGAGAUGUUGGGUUAAGUCCCGCAACGAGCGCAACCCUUUUCCUUACUUGCCAGCAUUUCGGAUGGGAACUUUAAGGAUACUGCCAGUGACAAACUGGAGGAAGGCGGGGACGACGUCAAGUCAUCAUGGCCCUUACGGCCAGGGCUACACACGUGCUACAAUGGUCGGUACAAAGGGUUGCUACACAGCGAUGUGAUGCUAAUCUCAAAAAGCCGAUCGUAGUCCGGAUUGGAGUCUGCAACUCGACUCCAUGAAGUCGGAAUCGCUAGUAAUCGCGGAUCAGAAUGCCGCGGUGAAUACGUUCCCGGGCCUUGUACACACCGCCCGUCACACCAUGGGAGUUUGUUGCACCAGAAGUAGCUAGCCUAACUGCAAAGAGGGCGGUUACCACGGUGUGGCCGAUGACUGGGGUGAAGUCGUAACAAGGUAGCCGUAGGGGAACCUGCGGCUGGAUCACCU
rnacentral:rRNA from 1 species